GGUGGAGCAUGUGGUUUAAUUCGACGCAACGCGAAGAACCUUACCAGGUCUUGACAUCCCUUGACAUCCUCAGAGAUGAGGAGUUCUAUCUUCGGAUAGACAAGGAGACAGGUGGUGCAUGGUUGUCGUCAGCUCGUGUCGUGAGAUGUUGGGUUAAGUCCCGCAACGAGCGCAACCCUUAUUCUUAGUUGCCAGCACUAACGGUGGGCACUCUAAGGAGACUGCCGGUGACAAACCGGAGGAAGGUGGGAUGACGUCAAAUCAUCAUGCCCUUUAUGACCUGGGCUACACACGUGCUACAAUGGCCUAUACAAAGGGUAGCGAAGCUGUGAGGUGGAGCCAAUCCCAAAAGUAGGUCUCAGUUCGGAUUGCAGGCUGCAACUCGCCUGCAUGAAGCCGGAAUCGCCAGUAAUCGCGGAUCAGCAUGCCGCGGUGAAUACGUUCCCGGGCCUU
rnacentral:rRNA from 1 species